AUCCGGCUCGAAGGACCAAUUUUGUAGAGGAGUUAGCUGGUUCUUAGGUGAAUUU
rnacentral:pre_miRNA from 1 species